UCAGUAGAUGUCACUGCAGUUCCACCACCAGCCAGGUGAGCGGUUGGACUGCAAUGCAUCCUGGGACACAGAGACCAGCAGAAGAGUACUCCGAUGGGCCAACAUCACUAAACAUAUUCAAGAAGUUGUCAAACAGAUUACCGCCACCAGUGAUUCUGAUGUGGAGGAAAGAAGUGUUAAGGAAGGAAGGAGGGAGGAGAGGAGAGAGAGAGUGGAUGUGAUGGACAUCUGCUGAAGAGUCUGGCCUUUCAGUAAUUGUGCCUGCUGCGGAGCAGAGGUCAGAGAGAUCUGUUCCUAAAACAGUAUGUGAAGGUAAUACUGUUUGUAGUUCAGUAGAAAUCUGAUGCAUCACAGUGGACAACCACAUACACUUGAUGCGUCCUCUCUGCCUCUCAACUGUACACUGUCAAUCAAAGGCACAGACACCC